AUGCUUAUGUGACGUGCACUCCGGCUGGGUUGGUUUAAAUCAGAUGGAUUGCAUAGUCUCAUAAGUGCCA
rnacentral:pre_miRNA from 1 species